CUAGGGUUGCCGCAUCUUAUCAAUCAUUAAACAAAUAUUCACUCUCUCUCUUCUCUCUCUCACUCUCUGAUUGUUGGUCACGUCGCCGAUAAUCUAUCCGUUGAGUCACCGGCUUAACAAUGGUCAAACACCAAUCUCUUUCCCAUGUUGCUGUUGGUGAUGCUGUAGUUACAGUUUCUAAAGCUUCUUAAUCUAGUAUUGUUGCUGUUGUGCUUGCUUCAAGUGUUUCUGAUGAGUCUAAGCUUAGUUCUGCAUCAGGUUUAGCUUCAGGCAUAGUGCUUGGUUUGUUUCAAGAUAGUAGGUGUAAGUUUGAAUCAAAGAAACCAUCUUUGAAGUCUGUUGAGGUAAGGCAGAGGAGGUAAGGCAUGAUCAUAUCACGAAGAACAACAGCACACCUGCACAUUGUCAAGAAUUGUUAGAACACAGACUGUGACGAGAUAACUACACGAUUCAAAAGAACGACCAUGUAAUUACCUAUAGGCAGUCGACACUUGUAAGGGAGAAGCAUUGGCAUAGCCACCCACUGUUAUGGGAACAGAAAACUCUGCUUCAAACACGGGCAGGACACCCAGUUUUCCCGGGAAAACAAACUGCUCUUUAGUAAACACGGGAAGGACACCCAGUCCUUCAACAAGUAUUGGGUUUGUAUUUUCACUUCCAUAUGUCCUUCUAUGUGUUUUCUUUGAGUAUGAUUAUUGUGUGAUAUGUUCGUGAAGGACUUUGAGUUUUAGUCUUAUUUAUUCUCAGUUCUUUUAACCA